rnacentral:rRNA from 1 species
ACCCUUGACAUCCUCGGAACUUGUCAGAAAUGACUUGGUGCCUUCGGGAACCGAGUGACAGGUGCUGCAUGGCUGUCGUCAGCUCGUGUCGUGAGAUGUUGGGUUAAGUCCCGUAACGAGCGCAACCCUCGUCCUUAGUUGCCAGCGGUUCGGCCGGGAACUCUAAGGAGACUGCCGGUGAUAAACCGGAGGAAGGUGGGGAUGAUGUCAAGUCAUCAUGGCCCUUACGGGUAGGGCUACACACGUGCUACAAUGGGCAGUACAAAGGGUUGCCAAACCGUGAGGUGGAGCUAAUCCCAGAAAACUGCUCGUAGUCCGGAUUGAAGUCUGCAACUCGACUUCAUGAAGUUGGAAUCGCUAGUAAUCGCGAAUCAGAAUGUCGCGGUGAAUACGUUCUCGGGCCUUGUACACACCGCCCGUCACACCAUGGGAGUGAAUUGUACCAGAAGCGGGUAGG